rnacentral:rRNA from 1 species
UCAGGACGAACGGCUGGCGGCGUGCCUAACACAUGCAAGUCGAACGGACGAGGGGAGCUUGCUCCCCGAGUUAGUGGCGGACGGGUGAGUAACACGUGAGCAACCUGCCCUUCGGAGGGGGACAACAGUUGGAAACGACUGCUAAUACCGCAUGAUGUAUUUGGGAGGCAUCUCCCGGAUACCAAAGAUUUAUCGCCGAAGGAUGGGCUCGCGUCUGAUUAGAUAGUUGGCGGGGUAACGGCCCACCAAGUCGACGAUCAGUAGCCGGACUGAGAGGUUGAACGGCCACAUUGGGACUGAGAUACGGCCCAGACUCCUACGGGAGGCAGCAGUGGGGAAUAUUGGGCAAAUGGGGGCAACCCUGACCCAGCAACGCCGCGUGAAGGAAGAAGGCUUUCGGGUUGUAAACUUCUUUGACGAGGGACGAUAGUGACGGUACCUCGAAAACAAGCCACGGCUAACUACGUGCCAGCCGCCGC